rnacentral:rRNA from 1 species
CGGCAUCAGCUCAAAUUUGAAAUCUGGCUCUUUCAGGGUCCGAGUUGUAAUUUGCAGAGGGAGCUUUCGAGUUGGCAGCGGUCUAAGUUCCUUGGAACAGGACGUCACAGAGGGUGAGAAUCCCGU